rnacentral:tRNA from 1 species
AGGCCUUUAGGUUAUUUAGACCUUGAGCCUUCAAAGCUCAGAGAGAGAUUAGAUAUUUCAUGGUCUG